UAAAGUAGUGUAACGAAACGUGGGUCAACGCACAAGAAACGUAUCGGUUACGGCGUUAUACGUCAAUACGUUUCUUGUGCAUUGAUCUACGUUACGUUACUAUACGAAAGUUUUGUGCGGAGGCUCUAACCGAUACGUUUCUUGUGCGUUGAUCCACGUUAAGUUACGCUACGCUAUCAUACGAGAGUCUUGUGCGGAGGCUCUUAGUUAGCUAAGUCUAACUAGCUCAUCUUCAUGAAACUUUACGUUGCGUGCGUCUAUUUAAUGACGAUGGAUGUAGAAAGCUCUUCAAAUCACUUCGAGAGGAUUAUCAAAAGCGAUCUCCAUAUAUCGCAUAUUUAAUCAGAUGUCGUCAGGGAUUGCUGUUGACAUUAGCUCACUUAGAUAGAUUAUGCGUGCGAGUUAAGUGCGAUCGGGAUGCUAUCAAUAAUCAUCUUGUAUCCGUUUGUGUGAGGGUAUUUUUGGAAAAAAAAGAAAGCUUUCCUCCUGCGAAGAGUUUAAAAAGCUUACGCUAGCUGACGAGAAACAGGUUCUCGUGGAUAAUUUUAUAGAGAAGGUCCACGUAGAAAUGGACAACGAUCCGAUUUGGCAAUCGGCAAGCGCCAACCAGUUAGAUUUGGCGAGAGUCGUAGUGGAAAGAACCGUCAUGGCACGGGUAUACCACAAUACGCUCUAUCUAAAUGAAGAUGGAGAUGUAUAUAGGGACCAGCUUUUUCACGGUCAUAUCAAUAAGUUGGCAAAGGUCGUAACUUCAAAUCACAGGGACCUACGCAUUUCAAAAGUUUA